AACAUUUCUCAGUUGGUCAAAUUAUCCAACAAUAGUCAAUUUGUGAAGGGGGAAAAAACAUUACUCUUCUGACAAGGAAGUCUACCCAAGCCUGCCUCUCCUAAUCAUAGGUUCACAAGAAGCACAUGCUUGAAAAAAGUACUUGGAAAGAUGCAUCAAACAACAGAGGACCAACAUAACAGCAACUUGAAGCAGAUAAUAACAGUUCAGCUAACUGAUAUUCUAAUGGGGUUCAAAAAAAUUCCUCAAUUGUAUAUCUACUAUACUACUAUUUCAAAGGGCACAUUGCCACAAUCAUAAACAAGAAUAUCACUGGUCAAUAUAGAUGCCAUCAAUCCAUUUUGGUUUGCGCCAAUGAAAAAUAUAUUCUUGGGAAAAAUCUAUUCUUGGUUAUAGCUUGAUACAAACACAUGGGAUUUGCUAUUGACAGCACUGAAGGACAACAACAAAAUCUUGAAAUGGUAGGAUAGAGAAACUACUUACUCGGUAUAACCAUGGCCAUUUUCAUCCACACCAUAACCAGGAGAGUAUGAUCUGCGAAUGCGAUCACCAUCUUGCCCUGGUGGAGGACCCCUAGGAGACCUUAGAUGGUCAACAUGCCUUCUACCUGGGGAAGCAGAGUAGUCCCGCCGC
rnacentral:lncRNA from 1 species